CGGCGGCUCCCCGGGUCCUGCCGCCCUCCCGCGGUGAGAACGGGGCUCUUCUGUCCCGCCCGCCUUCCCUCCCAAAAAAUCCACGGGUGUUGUGGGCCAUGCUGCUGCCAGGGGCCUCGUGUAGGCCAGAACUCCUGAGGGAAUAGGGGGGCCGGCCGGCUGGCUGUGGUGGGAAGCGGGGCUGCAGCUUCAUCGGACGUGGAGGCACGUGGUGAUUGGUGUAAAGAGGCCUGUGCGGGGGAUGAGCCCGGGAUGCACGAGGUAACAAUGGACAUUACAAGUGGGAGCGCAGAUGACAUUUCAAGGCCUGCAUCUAGCUCAAAACCCAAUUGUGGAUCUUUGAAUACAUCUAUAGAGUUACUAACACCAGAGCCACAUUUGCAAAAGGUUGAUUCACUUGUCAGUGUGGCUGAUGGUUAUCAGAGAGACAGUCUAGAAGAUUGCUGUCCAGCAGAAAACAAAAGAGAGAAAUGUGAUGUCCAGGCAGUAAGAACAGAUCAGCAAACCACAGUGGAGAGUACGACCUUCUCUCUUCAGAAAUGUAUACAGAAACCCAACGAAUUGUCAGGGUGUAGCUCUGAUUCAGAUUGUGAAGACACUGAAACAUGGACUUUGAAAUUCUGUGAACCUUUUCAAGGAAAAUCAAGUACUGCAAAAUCAGCAAACUUGAAAAGUUCUGAAGACACAGAUGUAGAUCCUCAGAUUCAAGCAGCUAUAAAGAAAAUGAAUAAACUUGACACAAUACUUGAAAAGCAACGUCUUAAGGAGAAAGCAAUUAAAAAACAAGGCAAAGAAAUGAGGGCAGUGCUCUGGGAAGAACUUCAGUCUAUCAAAACCAGAGGAGGCCACGAGGAGAUAGAAAACACAAACCUUUUUUUAGCUUUGUUCUCAUCGUGGCAGGAUACAGCUGAUCCCUCCCAUACUAAAGAAAAUGAAAUAUGUACUUCAGUAAUUCACACACAAAUGAAUCCAGAAGAUUAUGAUUGUCAUCAAGCCCAACAAAGCAAGGGAUAUCCAAAUGAAUUAGAAACAGAAUUAGAAAAAACAGCAGAGAAAACACAUAGCAAAAAUAAAAGCAACCAGGAUUUCAUUAAAAAGAACAUUGAGCUAGCAAAGGAUUCAGGAAACCAAAUUGUUAUGCUUGAGGGAGAAAGGAAAAGGCUUAUUGAACUAUUGAAAGAUACAGAGGAUGGAAUUGAAUUGCGAGGUCUUGAGGAGAAUGUAUCUGUCUGGCUAGCACCAGGAGAAGGGUACACACCUGAACCCACGGAAUUUCAUCUCCUAAAUGAAAUAGACAUUAAACUUCAAGCACUACUGUCUGAUGGGGAUUUUUCUGCAAUUUCCAGCUCUUUCUCAAAACCUCCAAGCCAGAUUUGUCAGGAGUCUCUGGUUUAUGCCAACAGAAGCCUAGAAACAGUUCCAGGUGAAAAGGUUCUGCGGGACAAUAAGGAAAAACGUGAUCAACAGAAUCGUCUGAAAGAAAUAGAUCAUAAGCUGGAAUCUCUAGAGAGAAAUCUUACUGAAGAACAAAUGAGCCUCUCUGAAGAGCAGCUUAAGACCCUUCUGGAAGAAUGUAUGCAGCCUGAGAGAACAAUAAGUAACGUUACCAUGCCAAAGUCUCAGGAAUCUCUUUCUUUUGGAUUAAGUCCCCCUUCUUACACAAGUCAAGACUCCACUCUUCACUCCACAUCUACUCUUUCCAAAAUGUUAGUUGAAGACCAUAUUGUAGGGAUGUUAAUGGCUCAGGAAAAGGCUGGACUCGAAGACAAAAGCUUAUGUGCAGAGAGCGAAAUCCCUGGCUACUAUAUCAGCAAAGCAUUGGCUGGUAGUCACUUAUCAAAGGAUUCACUGGCCCAAACAGAGGAACCUGAUGACCUAGAAGGUUUACAGAAGAUGGGAGAUGAGAGUAUUACUGAAGGUUACUUUAUGUCAAGAGCACUCAACACAAAAAGAUUGAAGAAACCUUCUUUCUUGGGUGAACCAUUAUAUUGCAUCAGCAUGAACAAUGAGCCAUGCACAGAGGCUGACAUUCUCAGCAUACCACUGCAAACCAAAGGAGAUUUUUAGCCUAAGACUACUUCUCUUCCUGGAAAGCCAACUGUUCAAAUAAGCCAGAUUUUAGGCAGAUGCAAGCAUCAGAAGAACAGAGCAAGGGAGGAAGGAAGCGGUCUGCCCCAGAGGAGAGCAGGGUAGCAGUAGUGGUGGUGGUCAUAGGGAACACCACAGAGGACCACCUCUGCCAGCAGCAAUUGAUCUCACGCAAGAGUAACGUGAUUACAUUCUAAACCACCAGUCUUCCUUGGCAACUACCAGUGAAAAAAACUCAGUACCUUGCUGCAUUCACAGCUUUAGAUCUUUAGUUAGAACUUUAGUUAGAUCUUUAGUUCUCCUUUAGUCCGAACUGAUGUAGUACAGUUAGAACCAAGUGUGACACAGACACAGUUACCACCUCUCAUGAGUGUGUUUUAAGAUGGGAUAUGGUAAAUCAAGCAAAACACCAUACACUGUGACCACUACGUUGUGAAGUGAGCAGGAAACAGUAUACAUAGUCCCUAUGAGGUACUUAUAUUGCAGAAGAGAGGAAGAUUUUCACUAUUAAGUAAAUUUCCAUAUAGGACAUCUCAUAGUAAAAGUCUGUAAGGGGAAUUUAUUAACAUUUAUCAUGUAAUAAUUUAAUUAUAUUUGAGUCAAAAUCAUGUGUACCAGAGUAAUGCGAGGGAUAUUUUGAUUGUCUGUUUUCAGUAGUGACUGAGUAAUGUUCGACUGUGUAGAACUCAGUUCUGUAUGGUUAAUAAACAUCUUGGGUUUAUGAUUGUUUUGCUUACCAAUUUUUUUUUUUUUGAGGGGGGGAGUAUUCUGAAUUUUUGGUCUCUGAUUUAUUUUAAUUUUUUUUGAUAGAAAAGUAAAAACAAAACCAAGGAGAUAAUAACAGAUAUUGUAAUUUCCUCAGGCUUUGAAUUUUUGUAUUAGUGUCUAAUUUUUUAAAGCGGUGUGAACAGGUAACUUUUAGGCACAAUAAAAGUAAGUGCAAAAAUAAAACCCCCUUCAGAGGUUUGUAACUGCUAAAUAUUUUACAGAUAUCCAUGUUUAAGUUUAAAUUAAUUAUAUUCAGAUGUAUUGUGUUCUGUUAGUAUUAAUGUUAUGAUUAAACAAACAUCCAAAAUUAGCAUUUAAAUAGGCAGCAGUCCAUUCUUAUUAUUUUUGUUAAUGUACUGUUUACAAGUAAAUGUAUAGCAUAAAACAGAAAACCCUGAUACCUUUCCAUGGAAUUAAUUUGUUUCCCACAAAGGUGAUUCAGUUCUGUCUGAAGCAAUUAUUCCUGGCCAUAAGCAAAAGGGUGUGAUGUUUAUCAAAUCUGUAAAGUUGCUUAAUGUAUUCUGUAGAUAAUCUAGUUGUUAGUUCAGACAUGAUUAGAUAUGCUAAUUUUAUUGAGGAAUGGAGAUCCCAGUGGAAUCCAGUUUAAGGCAAAUACAUCUGUAGAUGAAGGUGUGAGAAGUGUCAGGUGUUAUUUUUAUUUUUAUUUUUGAGAGAUAUUUACAUAGUUGAGCUUUGUUAUGGUCUUAAUUCUAAAGGACAUUUAAAUGCGUAUGCAUAAUCUUUUGUAAGUAGUUUGAUUUUCUUGCCGACUGACACAUGGUUUAAAUUCUCUUUAGUGCUGGGUAAGCAAAAAAACCUAUGUUUGUGUGAAGCUGGUUUAGCACAAUUUUGGUUUUGCAGUCCUUAUGGUACUGUAGUCUGUGAUAUUGAUUUACUGUAAGACAUUAAAUGAUAUUUUAAGAAAAGCAUAAUUAUGAACAUAAUGCAUAUGUAUAUACUUGUGUAUAUAUAUAUCUGAAGGAAACUCUCAUGUGCCUUCAGAGAUAAGUAAUUCCUGUUUCUUAAAAGAAGCAGUAAUCUACAUCUGGCUCAUAUGCAUGUAAACAUAGAUGAUGUUUAAUGAGGGAAACAGAAUCCAGACUUACCCAUAUACAGAUAUAAAAAGGAUGGUAUUUCUUAGUUGUAUGAGCCAAUUAGUAAUUAUUUCCAGCUCUGUUUUGGGGGGCUAUAUUAAGUUUUAAGUAGAAGUUGUAUCACAAACUGUUGUUACUUUUUCUUAUUGCAAAUAAUGCUGUGCUUACAGUGGUUCAGCAUAUUUUUUCUUUAUU